rnacentral:rRNA from 1 species
AGUGAACGCUGGCGGUAGGCCUAACACAUGCAAGUCGAACGGCAGCACAGUAAGAGCUUGCUCUUACGGGUGGCGAGUGGCGGACGGGUGAGGAAUACAUCGGAAUCUACUUUUUCGUGGGGGAUAACGUAGGUAAACUUACGCUAAUACCGCAUACGACCUACGGGUGAAAGCAGGGGAUCUUCGGACCUUGCGCGAUUGAAUGAGCCGAUGUCUGAUUAGCUAGUUGGCGGGGUAAAGGCCCACCAAGGCGACGAGCCGUAGCUGGUCUGAGAGGAUGAUAAGCCACACUGGAACUGAGACACGGUCCAGACUCCUACGGGAGGCAGCAGUGGGGAAUAUUGGACAAUGGGGGCAAGCCUGAUCCAGCCAUACCGCGUGGGUGAAGAAGGCCUUCGGGUUGUAAAGCCCUUUUGUUGGGAAAGAAAAGCAGCAGGUUAAUACCCCGCUGUUCUGACGGUACCCAAAGAAUAAGCACCGGCUAACUUCGUG